GUACACUCCUACGGGAGGCAGCAGUGGGGAAUAUUGGACAAUGGGCGCAAGCCUGAUCCAGCCAUGCCGCGUGAGUGAUGAAGGCCCUAGGGUUGUAAAGCUCUUUCACCGGUGAAGAUAAUGACGGUAACCGGAGAAGAAGCCCCGGCUAACUUCGUGCCAGCAGCCGCGGUAAUACGAAGGGGGCUAGCGUUGUUCGGAUUUACUGGGCGUAAAGCGCACGUAGGCGGACUAUUAAGUCAGGGGUGAAAUCCCGGGGCUCAACCCCGGAACUGCCUUUGAUACUGGUAGUCUUGAGUUCGAGAGAGGUGAGUGGAAUUCCGGGUGUAGAGGUGAAAUUCGUAGAUAUUCGGAGGAACACCAGUGGCGAAGGCGGCUCACUGGCUCGAUACUGACGCUGAGGUGCGAAAGCGUGGGGAGCAAACAGGAUUAGAAACCCCGGUAGUCCCAUGAU
rnacentral:rRNA from 1 species